CCCGCCCGCGAACCGUCCCUCCUCCCCAGAGCCUGGCUCCAAAUAGCGUCGGCUAUUUCCGGGCCGUAGAAGAAAUCGCGAGCGGCGGCUUCGGCAGCUUCCGAAAACACCCGAAGCGAGGAUUUCACGGUUUCCCAGGCUAUCGUAACUUUUCGGAAACUAGCUCUUCAACGUUCGGGCGUUUUCGUAGAUUCGACCCGCUCUUCGCUGCCGGCCCUAUCCAAGCAAUCGGCUACUUCCGACAAUCCUAAACGUCCCGCACUUCUGCGCUUUCUGAAGGUUUCCAGCGCUGGCUCUCGAACCCGAGGAUUAAACCCGAUGCCAAGCUUCGGCUCUCUCCGGACACUGCACUCACUCCUCCCCAGCCGGUGAACUUCGGCUCCUUCCGCCACCGCUUCGGGAAGGCCUCACUCACGGGAGACAGCUUCGGUUUUUUCCGUCGGCGCUUCGGCUCCUUCCGGCUUCGGGAACCGAAAAGGGAGGGAGGACAGAGACGAGGUUGGUCAGGAGAAGGGAUACGGAAAAAGGGCGGGGUCCCGGCUCUCUGCCGCUGGCCCUCCGGGUGAGGAGAGCGGAGGAAAAGAGGGGCCGAUUUCGCAGAGGUCCUAAGAAGGUUGCGCGAGACAAAAGCAGGCAGCGGGGUGAAGGGUGCGCGCGGCCGCUGCGGAGGUUGCCAGCGCGGCUUUGUGCGCCUGCGCAGAGUGGAAAAGGAGGAGAGCGAGUUGGGCUUCUGCGCCUGCGUAGAGGUCGGUCUGAGGCGAGGUUUCGCGAACGGGUGCCAGAGGCCCCAGCACGCAUGCGCGAGACUUUCCCUCACUCCGGGAAAGGUACUGGAUUCCAGACCGUUAGGCACAGCCGCCGUCUCCUGGUUGCUGUAGCAACAGCGUAAGCGCGCUCGCUCCCCUCCCGCAGCGCAGGCGCAGCAGGCGACGUAGAGGGCACUUCCGGAAGAGCGGUAAUUUGGCAGUACCGCCUCCUGGUGGGUGGGCGUGGAAGCCUCCGCCCGAAGGUGUCUUUUCCCGGUCCCCGCCGGGGUCGCUCCCGCCAGCGGUCACUGAGUCCCGGCCCCUGCCACCGCGCCUCAAGUCGAGCUAGCCUCUUUCCCGGAGCUCUACCUCUCCGAGUUGCCUAGGGCACAGCUGCUUUCCCUCCUCCCGCCCCUGCCGCCGGGGGUGCUAAUUACACCCUGUCUCCCCGAGCUCCUGCUCCCUGCCUGACCGCCCGCUCCGUGGAACUCGCCGGGACCCCCGUCACUGUCUCCGCGGCAACUGACACCCCUCCAAAAAGGAGCCGGGCCUAGUUUAUUCCAAA